rnacentral:lncRNA from 1 species
CUUCUCAAUACAGUAGAACCCUGGUGGUACUACUUUACUGGGAAUUAGUUUAGCAGUGACUGAAGUUCAGAAGCUGGCAGCUUUCUUCCCAGCCCUGAAAAAUAAAACAAAAAACAAACAAGCAACAACAAAAGUAAAACAACCUCAGAAGCUGAAGUGCAUGCAGGUCUGCCAGGAGCUGACAAGAUGCUUACACCUUUGAAGGGAAGACUUUAAACCUGAGAAGCAACAGGUUUUUUGGCACUUUGUGGGGCUUAACUGUACUGCAGUGAGAAGAAUGUCUUCUGAUG